AAAGUUAUAAAAUCAGCAGAGAAACCUCAUGUUCAAUAGCUAUCAGGACAAUGUGUUAUGUAUCAUCAAUGCCGCCUGUGACAGUAAGGUUAAACCACUAUUUAGUGAGGAGCGUGCAGAAGUACAAUACACUUUAAUGUAACUGUUAGAUAUGUGAUGGAACAGCCCAAGGGGUGGGUCCUCAGACUUCACUUCCUUAUUCUCCAAUGUUUUAAACAGACUGAUAAAUCAGUUCUCAUUUAAAAUUUAGUUUGAAGGUUAUCACAAAUAUUUUUAACAAGACCACAUUAUCCUUUUCUCCUUUCAUGUUCUGAUUUUUACCCAUAUAAAAGCAGAGGCAAACAGUGUCAGUCUGAGCAGCCGUACAAAUCAAGGACCACCCCACCUUUCUACGUUGAGAUCACUCUUAACUAGAGCACAGUUGAGUAACAAUCAUUGUAGUGGUGGAGUCUUACUGUACGCACAAUGGUGAACUUUACCUUGAUACCAGUGUUACUCUGCACCUUCAGUUGGAUCUCUGUCUCAGUCUCUGAGUUUUACACAGUGGAAGUUCAGCCUGGUGAAGAAGUCACACUGCUGUGCUCCAACUUUACCAACUUCCUCACUCACACACACUGGUUAAAACUCGGCAAUGAUAACAAUAUCCGCAGCAUCUCAUCUAUGUCCAGUGCUGAUCAAAAAGCUUUGUUUUAUGAUGGAUUUGACACUGGCAGAUUUAAUAUGACAUCCAACACCACUACUCUCUUUCUGAACAUCAAACCUGUGGAUUCAUCUGACUCUGGGCUGUACCUCUGUGGAUUUAACCAUGGAAACGACUCAGUAACUGUCUCAAUAAUGGCUACAAAUUUAAGGGUUCAAGGUAAGAUUGAUAUGAAGUUGUUUUUUUAUAUUAAUAUGUCCCCCUUUUCAUAUAAGUACUAACUCCAACCCACAGUGGGUUGAAUACUUUAUAUUCCGUUUUAUUAUUUAUCUUUCUCGUAGAAGUGUCAAGUAAUGAGUUUACCGAUGUGACGACUGUGAUCCUGGCCGGUGUAACGGUUUUCCUUCUAAUGAUCAUCAUCAGUCUGGCUGUCAAAAUCAGGACACUUUAUACAGGUAUUUAUGUGUGUUCUUUCAAAUGCAUGUUCUUAGUUAGUAAUUGAUGAAUUUUCUGUUUCUGUCAUUUAGGUAAAAAUGAGGAAGUGAACCUGCAACCCACUGAGAACAUGGGCUCUGAUUCUCUCAACUACGCAGCUCUGAGUUUCUGUCCUAAAGCAAAAAACAGCAGAAGGCCUGCAGCAGAGAGAGAACUGGAACAACAUGUAGUGUACGCUGCCUCAAGAUAGACUCAAAAUAACUCAGUACAACUUAUGCUUUACCAUAUUGAAGUAGUUGUGGACAGUUUGUGUGGCUGGUGGAUGGACAUUGUGAUGAUCUUUUGAAACUAUAAUAAAUUAUAUGUUUAUGCAAA